AUUGAACGCUGGCGGCAUGCCUUACACAUGCAAGUCGAACGGUAACAGGUUAAGCUGACGAGUGGCGAACGGGUGAGUAAUGUAUCGGAACGUGCCCAGUCGUGGGGGAUAACUCCUCGAAAGAGUGGCUAAUACCGCCUACGACCUGAGGGUGAAAGCGGGGGACCGUAAGGCCUCGCGCGAUUGCAGCGGCCGAUAUCGGAUUAGCUAGUUGGUGGGGUAAAAGCCCACCAAGGCGACGAUCUGUAGCUGGUCGGAGAGGACGACUAGCCACACUGGGACUGAGACACGGCCCAGACUCCUACGGGAGGCAGCAGUGGGGAAUUUUGGACAAUGGACGCAAGUCUGAUCCAGCCAUGCCGCGUGCGGGAAGAAGGCCUUCGGGUUGUAAACCGCUUUUGUCAGGGAAGAAACGAGUUUCUCUAAUACAGAGACUUAAUGACGGUACCUGAAGAAUAAGCACCGGCUAACUACGUGCCAGCCGCCGCAGUAAAAC
rnacentral:rRNA from 1 species